rnacentral:rRNA from 1 species
AGAAUCAACGCUGGCGGCGUGCCUAACACAUGCAAGUCGAACGAGAAAGUGGAGCAAUCCAUGAGUAAAGUGGCGACCGGGUGAGUAACACGUGACUAACCUACCUUCGAGUGGGGGAUAACCUCGGGAAACCGAGGCUAAUACCGCAUAACAUCGCAAGAUCAAAGCAGCAAUGCGCUGGAAGAGGGGGUCGCGGCUGAUUAGCUUGUUGGUGGGGUAAAGGCCUACCAAGGCUCCGAUCGGUAGCUGGUCUGAGAGGAUGAUCAGCCACACUGGGACUGAGACACGGCCCAGACUCCUACGGAGGCAGCAGUGGGGAAUAUUGGACAAUGGGCGAAAGCCUGAUCCAGCAAUGCCGCGUGGGUGAAGAAGGUCUUCGGAUUGUAAAGCCCUUUCGACGUGGACGAUGAUGACGGUACCCGUAGAAGAAGCCCCGGCUAACUUCGUGCCAGCAGCCGC